rnacentral:rRNA from 1 species
GGCCUAACACAUGCAAGUCGAACGGUAACAUUUCUAGCUUGCUAGAAGAUGACGAGUGGCGGACGGGUGAGUAAUGCUUGGGAACUUGCCUUUGCGAGGGGGAUAACAGUUGGAAACGACUGCUAAUACCGCAUAAUGUCUUCGGACCAAACGGGGCUUCGGCUCCGGCGCAAAGAGAGGCCCAAGUGAGAUUAGCUAGUUGGUAAGGUAACGGCUUACCAAGGCGACGAUCUCUAGCUGUUCUGAGAGGAAGAUCAGCCACACUGGGACUGAGACACGGCCCAGACUCCUACGGGAGGCAGCAGUGGGGAAUAUUGCACAAUGGGGGAAACCCUGAUGCAGCCAUGCCGCGUGUGUGAAGAAGGCCUUCGGGUUGUAAAGCACUUUCAGUUGUGAGGAAAAGUUAGUAGUUAAUACCUGCUAGCCGUGACGUUAACAACAGAAGAAGCACCGGCUAACUCCGUGCCAGCAGCCGCGGUAAUACGGAGGGUGCGAGCGUUAAUCGGAAUUACUGGGCGUAAAGCGCACGCAGGCGGUUUGUUAAGCUAGAUGUGAAAGCCCCGGGCUCAACCUGGGAUGGUCAUUUAGAACUGGCAGACUAGAGUCUUGGAGAGGGGAGUGGAAUUCCAGGUGUAGCGGUGAAAUGCGUAGAUAUCUGGAGGAACAUCAGUGGCGAAGGCGACUCCCUGGCCAAAGACUGACGCUCAUGUGCGAAAGUGUGGGUAGCGAACAGGAUUAGAUACCCUGGUAGUCCACACCGUACACGCUGUCUACUAGCUGUGUGUGUCUUUAAGACGUGCGUAGCGAAGCUAACGCGCUAAGUAGACCGCCUGGGGAGUACGGCCGCAAGGUUAAAACUCAAAUGAAUUGACGGGGGCCCGCACAAGCGGUGGAGCAUGUGGUUUAAUUCGAUGCAACGCGAAGAACCUUACCUACACUUGACAU